UCAAGUCGGCGAUGGGCGGCGGCGGAGUUGUGGUGGUGGUGGGUUUCUAGUCGGCGAUGAGCGGUGUUGUGGUGGUGGUGGGUUUUGACGUCGACGGCAGUGAGGGGGUGAGCAAUGACAUUGAUGGUGAUGACGGCAGCCGAUAACCCCUCAGAUCAAGACUCAUGGGUUUGGUGGUGGUGGAGAGGGUUUGAGCAAUGACGUUGAUGGUGAUGACGGCAGCCGGCCGGCGCCGGAGCUGCAUCGGCGACGACUGCAGUAGAGGUGAGUGUGUUUGGUUCAAGUUUGGUGACGACUGCAAGUAGAGGUGAGUGUGUGGUUCGACGGGUCAGAUUGAAUUUUCCUUUCAGCUUUAUGACCUCAAGCAGCAAGGUUUCAUAGAGAGGCAAGAGGUGAAAUUUUUUUAGUAGACGAAAACACUGCGUUUUAGCGAUUUUUAUUACAAGAACCUGGAAUUUGGUUAAUGUUUAACAUCUAAAAUACUCUUCUCUGGAAUUUGAUUAGAAAUUUGUUAUGUUUUGA